CCUACGGGGGGCAGCAGUGGGGAAUUUUGGACAAUGGGCGCAAGCCUGAUCCAGCUAUUCCGCGUGUGGGAUGACGGCCCUCGGGUUGUAAACCACUUUAGUAGAGAACGAAAAGGAGCUAUCGAAUAAAUAGCUCUGCUGACGGUACUCUAAGAAUAAGCACCGGCUAACUACGUGCCAGCAGCCGCGGUAAUACGUAGGGUGCGAGCGUUAAUCGGAAUUACUGGGCGUAAAGGGUGUGCAGGCGGCUGAGUAAGACAGAUGUGAAAUCCCCGGGCUUAACCUGGGAACCGCAUAUGUGACUG
rnacentral:rRNA from 1 species